CCCCCAAAUCCCAGGAGAUUAUAAAUGUUAACCAUGGAGCCUGCGUGCCUCAAGAAUGUCUAGCUACUCGGAGAUAACUUGACUCUCUGUGUUCAUGGGUAAUCAAAAUGGUCAAAACUCAAUGAUCCAGCACCUGCAAAAAGAGGAAGCAAUUCAACAGCCUCCACGGAGGCCUCGGCGUCCCCAGGAUCCACUCAUCUCUACUCUUCACAACAUGUAACGUCACCUCUGGCACAUUCGGUAGCGGGACUAAUCUACAACCAGUUCUGGCCAGGAGGAGCACUGGGUGAGGGUCCUUUCUGAGCGGCAGGGCAAUACACAUGGACAUGAUUCUGUGACCACAGCCAACCCCACACAGUGGAACCCCUUGAGUUUCUCCAGAUCAUCACCCAAAAGGAAGUGAUAAGCUUCCACUGCCCCAGCUGAAUGAGUAGCUAUCCCUCACCUUCCAGAGAGAAGGAGAGAGAGAAUCCCAAGCAGGCUCUGCGCUGUCAACACAAAGUCCGAUGCGGGGCUCGAACCCACGAACCGUGAAAUCGUGACCUGAGCUGACGUCAGACGCUCAACCGACUGAGCCACCCAGGUGCUCUGAUUCAUCCAUUUUAGACACUGUCUGUGGACUUCCUAGCAACACAGGCAAGGAGUUAGGUCUUUAACACCCCCCACCCAUUCCAUUCUUGGGGUUCAGUUUUGUCACUCUUGCCCCAUGAUUGAUAGUGGUUGCAGAAUUGUGACUAGGUAAGCAUUGUUCACCGCAGAGCUUACUCAUGUAGUCCGAUGGCACUCGUUUCUGUCCCCUGACCCCCCGGGGUUUAAUUUCUUCUCCUUCUCUUUCUGUGCUGCCCGCCACGAUCACUCCUCCACUCCGCUCCAGUGCUCCGGCAUGACAGUUAGUGCCGUUUCCCUUGGCUACCUCCUUGACCUGUCGUACGCUGCUGUCCUGGAACCUUCCUUCGCUGCUUCCUGGGCUGGGCUUUUCCUGGCUCCCUUCUCUUCUUGCUUUCUUUACUGUCUCUCUUAAUCUGCAGUUAAGAAUCCCUUUCUAAUAUUAAAAAAUAGAAUGGUCUUCGGACCUGCCCGUGAUCGUAGGUAUCCUUUCGAUAUCUAUUAAUUGGGACCAAAAAUACAGAAAGACCAAAAGUUACUAUGAAGGCACUCCUGCUCUUAAGUGAAUUUGUGUUUUACUCACAAUAGCAUCUAUGAACGUGUGAAAGCCUGUUCAAAGUUUAGGCUUAGGGUUAGUUCAAUCUAGCCUCAGUGUCUGGUCUUCCAUUUGUCACCUCGCCCCCUCAACUUGCCGUGAGACAACCCCCUCUCUUGACUUUCUAUUCAGUUCCUGUGCCCUAGCAGAGACUUAAGUACUGGUUUAAGGCCCACCUUGCAGGUGCACGUGACCAUGGCUGGCCAAUCAGGGUCUCCUCCUGCCAGAUACAGGGUCCAAGCAGACCAAUCAGAGGCUUUUUGAAGACUGGCUUUCCUUUAUGAGGCUUGCUCAACCUCAGUGGAGAGUUGGAGUUACUAACGACUAUCUUUGCAGUCUUGGGGCAUCCAUCCUGAAGGCUGAAGCCAUCAUGGAGGAAAGCACAACUGAGGGAUAGUUGGGGAGAGAAUGACGUUUGAGCGCUAGAUGCGGCCAGCUUGAAGAUCUUAGGCUUCCCGGUUAUGUGAGCCGAUACACCGUAUGACAUUUUUGGCUUAAGCAUAUUUUAGUUGGAUUUCUUUCACUUGGAGCAUAAAGAGCGGCGACUGAUAUCCUGUCUUUGUGAACUUGGGCAGGUUAUACAAGCGGUGCGUACAGACUUGGACCGUGACAACGCAGCUCCCGCUAGGUCCCCUAUGGCUGCCCUGUUAUCAGCCUGAGCCUGAGACAGCUUGACAUUGAAUAGUCCGUUUUAGGGACUGGAGGAAACGACUUACCGUGAGUCACUGCCCUAAAAUAUGCUUUCUACCCACAUGCCCGGUGCCUGGAAUUCUGUGGUGAUGGUGGCAUUCCUCAGGGUUAACCAUGGCUCUCUUCAAACGGUUCUCCUUUGGAGUGUGAAGUCUGCGAUAUUUAACUUGUAGAAGUCCUUUCUUCUGGAGGUCCCUCUGGCAGGCAGUGGAUCCAGGAUGCGGUGUAGACAGACCUAGGUACACAUCUCAGUUCCCAGUGGCACAGUCCCUUUGCAGCUUUGCGGGCAAACCCCUAGCACUGUGUGCUGACCUUUAGGAGGUCAGUCUGUAUCACAUAAGGAAUCCUACGCAGAGAGGGAAGAGAUGGUCUCAGAUUCACCCAGUAAUCUCCCUGAGUCAGCCCUGAGGGCAGGGCCUGGCCCUAGGCGUUGGGAAGAGGAAGGAGAUGUGAUUCUUGUCUUGUCAGGGCUCCUGACCUAAUAGAGAACUGCGGUUGAGUCUUCACAUGGACGGACGCUGUCUUUCACUCUGCGCCAUUCUGUGGCGCCAGGCCGCUCUCUGCCGCUGCCCUGCCCUGGAAACACACGCAGCCUAAGCACCAUUCCUGCCUCUGCUCUGGGCCUCGGGACUUUUCUUCUUCUUGAAUGAGUGUGCUCCCGCCCCCCAGCUGGUGCUCCACGCCAUCCCCCAGGUCUCAACAACAUACCCCCACCAGGACCACAGGAGCCAGAGCUGGUCGUGCCUGGUGGUCCUCAGGACUGAGAGGCCCUGACCUCCGUGGGGGCAGGAGCCGGCCAGCAUGACCAGUCGGGACUCCCAGGUUAAGAAUCCAGUUGAGCCUCCUGGUCCUCCUCAAUCUGCUCUGCCCUUCGUCUCCCACCCCCAAAUCCCUGCCGACCUCCAGCCCUGAAGAAGCCGGAGAACCUCUGCUUCCCCCACCUCCCCGUCCGCCUUGUCCUACUUCAGUAGUUUGGCUCCUCCGAGCCCUCUUCUUGAUUCAACCUUGCUUGGCCUGUGAAGACUUGAACAAACACGGACGUGGUUGCUGGCAGCUCGUGGCCGCAUCCCUAGUAGGACCCUAGCCUCCCUUAAAGUGCCUGCCUGCCAAACUCCCGGCUGUCUAAAGGAUUGGCUGCUGAGUCCAGCCAACGCCUGAAGAUCGGGCCCCUGUCUCCCAGCUUCUGUGAGAGGGCAGGAGCUUAACUUUGAGAAGUGUCAGCAAAGCCAGAUGGGUCUCAUAUGGGCCAGCGUCCCUUCCUGCUUUUUGUCAUCUUUCACUUCUGAUUAUAGAGCCCCCCACUCAUUCCCUUCCCUAGUCCCUCAUUCUCCCUGUGAAAUACCCCAUCACCUCUGUAAUAAUCCCAGUCGGGUGCCUGCUCACGAUGAACCCUUUCCCCUACGGCACUGCAAUACUAUGUUACUGACUGAAAUCUGUCUGGAUUACUUUAAGUAGUGUCUGCUUUUGUUUAUUUUCAUCAGGGGAGGUGUGCAGGAUCAGCCUUUUAAUUUUUUUUUUUUUAAUAUUUAUUUUUGAGAGAGAGGCAGGGUGCAAGCAGGGGGGUGGGGGAGGGGCAGAGAGCGAGUUAGACACAGACUCCAAAGCGGGCUCCAGGCUCCGCGCUGUCAGCACAGAGCCCGACGUGGGGCUCAAACCCAAGAACCGUGAGAUCAUGACCUGAGCCGAAGUCGGUCGCUCAACUGACUGAACCACCCAGGUGCCCCAACAGCCUUUGAAAUUAAAUUAUUUUCAGGAUCAGCUUUUUAAGUAAGCAUCCCAGGGAUGUUUGCGUAUAGAGGUCCAAAGGCUGUAUUUUGAGAAAUCGUGUUUCCCUGUGGAGAUCUUUUCUCUGGCAGCCCUUUUGAAUGGGGGCUAUGUUUUCUCAGAUACUGCAUUGCCAAUAGUCCAUCCAGCUUUAAUUCCAGUGAGAACGUUCCGGAGAUGAAACUAAGAAUCAACUCCAGGCGCUUCUCCAGUCACCUCUGGGGAUGAGUGUAUGUCGUCAGCAUCCAGCGCCUCACCUGCUGCCCAGCUAGAAUGACACCUUUCAGGGUUUCUGACUUAGAAACACGACCACCAGGUUACUCCACGUGGACACCACCCCCCUUUUACAAAGCCUUUGAACACCCACCCAUCAGGAGGGGUUUGCUGGAUAAUGUUGGUUGGCUCUUGACACCCAUUUCUAGCCCCUUCUUUGCAGGUCCUGGAAACCCACGAACCAUCGUUCACAGAUUCCCUCGACAGCAGAAUUCUGCCGAUAAAGCGUACCUGUGUGAAAUUUGGAAGGCGGAGGUGGAAGGAGGUGGAAGCCAUGCUUUUCUCCUCUGUAGCAGCAGACAUGCAGGCUGAAUGUUGGAGUCCAUACUCCCCACCAGUCAGGCUUGGGGCCAUGGGGCUGUAGUGACCCCGGCAGUGGCUUCCCGAAGUUUCCUGACCGAGUGGCAGCAGCAACUUUGAAUCUAUGGAAAGCAACUGUGGUAAAGUAACCUGAGAGCUAGUGGUGCGAUUCCCCCCUGGCCCUGACCUUCACCACCGCGAGCCCCACCAGUGAUCACUCACUCUGGAGGCACCCAGCCAUCAUGCUGUGAGGACACUCAGUCAAACAGCAUGUGGGCAGGCUCAUAUGGCAGGGAUCUGAGGCCUCCCUCCAACCCCCUUGACAGCCAUGUUAAGUGAGUGAACCACCUUGGAAGUGGACCCUUCCGACUCAGUCGAGCCUUCAGAUGACUGCAGCCCUGUGGUAUCUUGAGAAUCUCACAAAAGACCCAGGGGCAGAAGUGCCCAAGCUAUUCCCGAAAUUUUGCCUCAAAACUUUUGAGGAAUGGGGCGCCUGGGUGGCUCAGUUGGUUGAGCGUCUGACUUUGGCUCAGGUCAUGGUCUCACCAUUCAUGGCUCCGGGCCCCGCAUUGGGCUCUGUGCUGACAGCUCAGAGCCUGGAGCCUGCUUCAGAUUCUGUGUCUCCCUCUCUCUCUGCCCGCACGCUCUGUCUCUCUCUCUCCCUCUCUCUCAAAAAUAAACAUUAAAAAAAUUAAAAGAAAUACGGCAAGGUAGCAGUUGAGACUGAUACGUACUGUGCAAAUUUGAGGUCGUGUUAUAGAAACAACAUUUUCUAAGCUUCACUUUAUGAACCACAUUUGAGCUAAUGGAAAUAUUCCAAAAUAGGAGAAUGGAGUUGCCUGGAAUCCCGGCCCACACUUCGGGAAGCCCAACUAUGCCCAGAUGGGUCUUCCUGGUUUCUCGUCAGCUCUGUCUCUGUGUCCACCUCUCUUCUUCAAAAAGUCACCACCGGCCCCCGCUCCACCCAGCUCAUGAAGGAGUUUGAGCUGGUAUGAGGAGUUUCUGCCCUUGUGACCUAAGAGUGACUAAAGGGCCUAGUACUGCGCCUGGCUCAAAGCAGGUGCUCACCAAACAGGAGCGGCCACCAUCCUCAUCGUUGUAAUUAUUGAUUCUUUGAUGGUGACCAUGGCUUAGACGUCUCUGUAGCCCUGCACCCUGCAGCAGGGCAGUAUAACCGUCAGCAGGCUUUGGAGUUAACAGGCCUGGAUUAAACCCCUACCUGGCAGUUUUGGACUUGCGGCCUUGGGCACCUGAACAGGGUACCUACAUCCUUUAAGCCCUGUCCCCUUAUCUGCCAGAUGGGGAUGAUAAAGUAUGUUUUCACGGACUG